CCUCACCUGGAUGCGUGACUCUUCAACCUCAGGACUUGCAGAAUUAAUGGAAUGCCGUCCUAAGGUUGUUGAGUUAUGCGUUUCUAGGC
rnacentral:pre_miRNA from 17 species